CACCAAACCCCACGGGCUCAGCCCAUGGAACCCCUCCCCUCCUCUGCUGUGAUUUACUGGGUGAUGGCACGUGGCUGCUGGGAAUAACUCUGGACUGUGGUAGCUCUGGUGACCUUGGGGCUCUGUCCCUUGCAGGAUCUCCAUGGGAUGGAGAGAGAGUCGAUCCCUCAGGAGCUGAAACAUGGAGCUCUGCUUUUCUUGCUUUCCCUGGCAUUACCGAAGAAAAAAGGAUCAUUUUUUCCCACUCCUACAGAAAAUGCCAAAAGCGAAGUGAGUUUCAAGGGAUGAUUUCUGAAACUGGCUCUUCAGAAAGCUGGCUGCAGUCCAGGUGAGCUCUGGGUGCAUUGUCCUGCCUGCAGAGCUGCU